GAUUAAAUGGCUGAAAUUUAGGCAAUAGACUGUAAAUCUAUUCAUGAGGUGUAUUCUCUUUAAUCA
rnacentral:tRNA from 1 species